CAUCGCUCAACUAUGACUGUAUUGAGGAUCCAAUCAAGCUGUAUGUUAUAUACUGUAAAUACUCUAUAAAAAUCAAUCAUAUGAAGAUACUCCAUGAUUCUCUCAUGUAGCUGUCAGGCACGUAUCCCAAUAGACCCUCUGUAUCUGCAGCAUUGGAGCCCCGUGUCUUUUUCAGAAUAUACACAAUCACUAUGGUGUCGGAUCUGAAGAUACAAUACAGUAGUAGGAUCUGUCGGCCCCAGUCAUGUCAUAUCUACUGUUAUUAUAACAAAAUAAAAAGACGAGCUUACGAUCAAGAAAAAUCAAAGAUGAUAAGAAAUAACAAAGAUAAUAACUUUAACAUAAAUGACAAUAAUAAUAAUAAUAAGAUAAUUUUAUAAAUUUUUUUAAGUGGUUAUAUGACAUG
rnacentral:lncRNA from 1 species